GAUGAAGAACGUAGCGAAAUGCGAUAAGUAAUGUGAAUUGCAGAAUUCAGUGAAUCAUCGAAUCUUUGAACGCACCUUGCGCCCUUUGGACAUUCCGAAGGGCAUGCCUGUUUGAGUAUCAUGAACACCUCAACUCUCACGGCUUGUCCGUGAUGAGCUUGGACUUUGGGGGUCUUGCCGGCCUGUGGUCGGCUCCUCUCAAAUGGAUCAGCUUGCCAGUGUUUGGUGGCAUCACAGGUGUGAUAACUAUCUGCGCUUGUGGUUUUCCAUCAGAUAACCUUCAGUGAUAUGGAGGUUCGCUGGAGCUCACAAAUGUCUCUCCUUAGUGAGGACAGCUCUUUGAACGUUUGAUCUCAAAGCAGGUAGGACUACCCGCUGAACUUAAGCAUAUCAAUAAGCGGAGGA
rnacentral:misc_RNA from 1 species